rnacentral:rRNA from 1 species
UACGUAGGGGGCAAGCGUUGUCCGGAAUCAUUGGGCGUAAAGCGCGUGUAGGCGGCCCGAUAAGUCCGCUGUGAAAGUCCAGGGCUCAACCCCGAGUCGGCCGUCGAUACUUCCGUGCUCGAGCACUGUAGAGGCAGGUGGAAUUCCGGGUGUAGCGGUGGAAUGCGUAGAGAUCCGGAAGAACACCGGUGGCGAAGGCGGCCUGCUGGGCAGUUGCUGACGCUGAUGCGCGACAGCGUGGGGAGCAAACAGGAG